rnacentral:tRNA from 1 species
GGUGGGGUGACCGAGCGGUCUAAGGUGAUAGUCUUGAAAACUAUUGUGGGCGUAAGCCCACCCAGAGUUCGAAUCUCUGCCCCACCG